rnacentral:lncRNA from 1 species
AUGUCUGUCAGGCCUCUGAUGGACUUCCUGAUGCAGCUGGAAGAUUACACAUCUACCAAUCCACAGGCAGUAACUGGUUACUACCUAAGCCAUCCUGGCUUUGAGGCCUCAGACUCACAAAUAAGUCAGUUUAGCUCCUUAGCUGCCCAUAAAUUCAUCUCAGGUAUUGCCAACUAUGCCUUAUAGCACUAAAAAAUGAAGGGCAAAGCCCCUAGCAGCUCAUGAAACAAGAGCAAAGACCACACGUACACCCAAACCAUGGAAAUCUUGACUCCUGCCCUUAGGAAGUAUGGCAUCAAUAUGAAGAAGCUGUACUACUUCUCC